rnacentral:rRNA from 1 species
AUUGAACGCUGGCGGCAGGCCUAACACAUGCAAGUCGAACGGUAACAGGAAAAAGCUUGCUUCUUUCCUGACGCGUGGCGGGCGGGUGAGUAAUGUACGGGAAACUCCCUGUUUUCGGGGGGGAACUCCUGGAAACGGUUACUAAUACAGCAUAUACUCCCAAGAGCAAAGAGGAGGGGCUUUUGGGCCCUUGCCAUCGUGUAUGCCCAGGUGGGAUUAGCUAGUAGGCGGGGUAACGGCUCACCUAGGCGACGAUCCCUAGCUGGUCUGAGAGGAUGAUCAGCCACACUGGAACUGAGACACGGUCCAGACUCCUACGGGAGGCAGCAGUGGGGAAUAUUGGACAAUGGGCGCAAGCCUGAUGCAGCCAUACCGCGUGGAUGAAGAAGGCCUUCGGGUUGUAAAGUACUUUCGGCGGGGAGGAAAGGAAGAAAGUUAAUACCUUGGUUUAUUGACGUUACCCGAAGAAGAAGCACCGGCUAACUUCGUG